rnacentral:rRNA from 1 species
UGAGGAACAUGACCUUCGGCGGGGGAUAGCCGGCCCAACGGCCGGGUAAUACCGCGUACGACCACAUGGGGGACAUCCCUGAGUGGUGAAAGCAGCAAUGCGCCGAUGGAGUGCCUCGCGGCCUAUCAGCUAGUUGGUGAGGUAACGGCUCACAAGGCGACGACGGGUAGCUGGUCUGGAGAGGAUGGCCAGCCACAGUUGGGACUGAGACACCGGCCANACCUNACGGGAG